rnacentral:snRNA from 1 species
GGAUAUGUGGACAAUCUGACUGUGAUAUCCUGAUUCAGCUGAUUGGGCUGGUGAGAAAAGUAUUCCCUUCCUCAUCACUCCAUGUGUAUCCCUACCCAAGAUGAGUGCUCUUUGGUCAAAGAGGAUGACCUUCCCAACAGAGGAGGAUCAUUCUUCAGUCAAGGGUUUUAUGAAUAGCUGUUGUCUUUUGUUAGAACCUCCAAAUAAGCUCUCAAGAGAUUCUGGGCAGCCCAAGACAUGACAAACACCUACUGAAGGAUUUGGCUCUGA